CUGAACCAGCCAAGUAGCGUGAAGGAAUGACGGCCCUACGGGUUGUAAACUUCUUUUGUGCGGGAAUAAAGGAGCCUACGUGUAGGCUUUUGCAUGUACCGUAACGAAUAAGCAUCGGCUAACUCCGUGCCAGCAGCCGCGGUAAUACGGAGGAUGCGAGCGUUAUCCGGAUUUAUUGGGUUUAAAGGGAGCGUAGACGGGUUUUUAAGUCAGUUGUGAAAGUUUGCGG
rnacentral:rRNA from 1 species